rnacentral:rRNA from 1 species
UUACAACAGAUAUAAUUUACUAGUUCUUGUUUCUAUAUGGAUAACUGCGGUAAUUCUGGAGCCAAUACAUGCAUCAAGCCCUGGCCGUCCGGUUAGGGUGCAAUUAUUGGAGCAAAACCAGUCUCGUACUGUUUGCUAACUCAGGAUAAUUCUGCAUAUCGCAUGGUCUUGUACCGGCGAAGUUUCUUUCAAGUAUCUGCUUUAUCAACUAUCGUUGGUAGUUUAUUGGUCUACCAUGGUGUUGACGGGUAACGGAGAAUCAGGGUUUGACUCCGGAGAGGGAGCCUUAGAAACGGCUACCAUGUCUAAGGAUAGCAGCAGGCGCGAAAAUUACCCAAUAUCAAAACGAUGAGGUAGUGACGAGAAAUAACAAGAUCGUUCUCUUUGAGAUCGAUUAUUGGAAUGAGUACAAUCCAGAAAUUUUAACGAGUACCUACGAGAGGGCAAGUCUGGUGCCAGCAGCCGCGGUAAUUCCAGCUCUCGUAAUGUAUAGAAUUAUUGUUGCGAUUAAAAAGUUCGUAGUUGGAUUGCAACGCAGGUAUGGGUCCACCCUCUGGGUGCGUACUCAAUGCUUGCAUUUUGCAUGUUUUUGUGGCGUCGCUUCGGUGGCGUUCAUGAUGCAUGCAGGAUUACUUUGAACGGCUCAAGUGCUUAAAGCAAGUCUUAUGACUGAAUACCGGUGCAUGGAAUAAUGGAACAAGGUUGUGGCUGAGUUUUAUUGGUUUUGUCGGCUAAAACAAUGGUUAACAGGAACAGCCGGGGGCAUUCGUAUCGCUGCGCGAGAGGUGAAAUUCGUGGACCGUAGCGAGACGUCCUACAGCGAAGGCAUUUGCCAAGAGUGUUUUCAUUAAUCAAGAACGAAAGUCAGAGGUUCGAAGGCGAUUAGAUACCGCUCUAGUUCUGACCGUAAACGAUGCCAACUGUCGAUCCGCUUGUGGAUUUUAUUCAUGAGCGGGGAGAUUUCCGGAAACGAAAGUUUUUCGGUUUCGGGGGAAGUAUGGUUGCAAAGCUGAAACUUAAAGGAAUUGACGGAAGGGCACCCCCAGGAGUGGAGCUUGCGGCUUAAUUUGACUCAACACGGGAAAUCUCACCCGGCCAGUACAUCGUAAGGAUUGACAGACUGACAGCUCUUUCAUGAUUCGGUGAAUGGUGGUGCAUGGCCGUUCUUAGUUCGUGGAUUGAUUUGUCUGGUUUAUUCCGAUAACGAACGAGACUUUAACUAUUAAAUAGUGCGCAUGUUGCUUCGGCUGCGUGUGAUCACUUCUUAAAGGAAUUUGUGGUUUUCAACCUCAAGAAAUUGAGCAAUAACAGGUCUGUGAUGCCCUUAGAUGUUCGGGGCCGCACGCGUGCUACAAUGGUGGUAACAGCGUGAUUGUCCUUUUCCGACAGGAAUUGGCAAACAGUUGAGAUAUUAUUAUGGCUGGAAUUGAGUGUUGAAAUUUUCUCUCAUGAACGAGGAAUUCCAAGUAAAUGUGAGUCAUUAACUUGCAUUGAUUACGUCCCUGCCCUUUGUACACACCGCCCGUCGCUGCCCGGGACUGAGUUACUUCGAGAAAACUAGGGAUCGCUGGAGUUCGAUGUUUCGGCAUUGUCUUUGGUGAGAACUAGUUUAAUCGCAGUGGCUUGAACCGGGCAAAAGUCGUAACAAGGUAGCCGUAGGUGAACCUUCGGCUGGAUCAUUA